rnacentral:rRNA from 1 species
AUACGGAGGGAGCGAGCGUUAAUCGGAAUUACUGGGCGUAAAGCGCGCGUAGGCGGCUUUGUAAGUCGGAUGUGAAAGCCCUGGGCUCAACCUGGGAAUGGCAUUCGAUACUGCAUAACUAGAGUAUGGUAGAGGGAAGUGGAAUUUCCGGUGUAGCGGUGAAAUGCGUAGAUAUCGGAAGGAACACCAGUGGCGAAGGCGACUUCCUGGGCCAAUACUGACGCUGAGGUGCGAAAGCGUGGGGAGCAAACAGGAUUAGAUACCCCAGUAGUCC